rnacentral:tRNA from 1 species
UAGAUUGAAGCCCGCUGGCUUGGGCUUUUAGUUGUUAACUAAAGUUUCGUAGGAUCAAAGCCUGCCGAUCUAGU